UACGUCCGAUGUGCAGGCAAAACUUUAUAGAUGCAGAUUACAUACAUUAGAAAUUGCCAACUCGGUGGAUGAUAAAUACUAUGACUUGGGACUCAGAAAAAAGAUCAACACGUAGAUGCAGAUUACAUAGAUCAGGACUUGCUAACUCGGCGUAUGACACAUACUAAACGACAUCAACACGUAGGUGAGACCAUUGACUAUUAGAGAGUCCUGAAUUUAUUGGAGACAACAAAGUGGGCGCACCAUGUGAGUUAUUUGGCACCUUGAUGCAGCAAAUCAACACAUGUUUGAGCUACAACGGAGGUCACUUAAAUAAAUGUAACGUGAUUUACCCCUUUAUUUCUUUAUCUCGAGAGACAAUGUAGAUAUAUGCAUGUGUUUACAUUUGUUGUGGUUGCAUGUAUCCUUGACUUUUGUUAGGCUGGGGACAAGCGUAUCAAUUUGUAUAAUGCUAAUAAUGUUGUCACAUAAUAGUGUAAUGUAUGUGUUAUUGUGAUGUUAUCCAGUCAAACUCUUUAGAAAACAAUGGUCGCCGCCAGAAGUUGGCUGCGGUGAUUGUUGAAUAUAGAUGGGAUCUUCUUUGAGGAAAUCCAAACAAGCGGCUGGGGAUGUAUCUCGCGGGACUCGAUGGUUACAGUUUGGGGAGCAGCAGAGUUGCUUGCUAGCAUCUUUUGUUCUUGCAUCUACGAACUGAUGAUGCUUUACUUGCUGUUGUUUCCCGUGGUAGUACAUUAUGGCUCACUGUUGUUUAUGCUCGGACAGCAGCAGAGGAAUAGACUCGGCAAGGAAGGGAGCUACUCCAGUGUAGUCGGUGGAAUUGACUGGCAAAGUAAAUCAUGAAGCUCCUGGUUGGACCAAGAGGCUAAGAAUUGGGGUUGCACCUCCUAUAACAGUCAGUUUCAUCGGUGGCCUGCCAACAACACUGGUGAAGGAAUGAGGGUGGCCCGAGACCGAUAACAGGGGGCUCUUGAACUGGCAAAGCCAGAAGCCACCAUCGCUUCAUUGUCCCCGGAGAUCGUUUGGUGAUGUCCGAUGGAUAUCACGUGACGGAGUGGAGACGCACACUCCCCUGCCCCAACUUUGGUGGCGCCACCUACCAAUGCGGGGUACAGUCCUGCCUGACCCGGCCAACAUCUUGAUUGUAAAUUUCUCUCACCUUCUAUCUCGUGUUCAUGUGGUCGUAUUGAUUUUGCCUUUUGAGAAGUGUUGAAAGAAGAUUAUGUGCUUCAGGCGACUGAAUGUCCAGUAAUAUCAUCAACCUUCAGCCAGCAGCGGCUCCGAACUCUAUCACCUCAAAUGGUUUAGCAUAGAUCGAUGUUUCCUUUCACAUGCUUUCCGAGCCAAGUUUCAGCUGGUCUCGACCCAGCAUGUAUCUUCACUUUCAGUAACAAACUGUUGACUAUGAAACCGAGAAAGACCUGAGCCUUCUGAU